CGUAUCUUCCCGUGCUAUGCUGGAGUAGUUCAUUUUCUUGGACAAAAGUUCAUUUGCCCAGCAUAACGAGAGAAGCAGCUAAUUUGUGAUCACAUAAGUGAUCAUGUUCCAGAAAGGCCUGGAUGCUCUCCUGCUUGGACCAUGCAGAAGGAAUUACUGUGUAGGAACUAGAAGGAAAAAAAGCAUAUUACUACACGGAAUAUAUAAAAAGUAUAUAGAAUUAGAGGUGCUUCCAUUUCUGGCCAAUUCAGGGAUCUGAAGAGAAUGUUUCACCAGAUAAUAAGUAUUGAAUCUUGCUUUCUGAUGUUUUUGUGAUGAUCUGCACAGAUUUAUUCAAUUUCACGUUUUUAUUUUCAUGAUUUUGAAAUGGUUCAGAUUUCUAGUUCAAUUGUAUCCUCUUUUGUAGGUGUAACAAAGUUCAUAUUUUUUGGUGAAUUGUUUUCUUUUUGACAUGCAAAAGGACUGUGUGCUCACUGAGGUUUGUUUCCCUUGUCUUCCAGGACUCCAAAAGUCCCUUUUUUCUCCUUUUUCCCUUCAUCAUCCCUUUGUCAAAGGGCACCCCCACCCUUCUUUUUUGUACAUUUCUUUGCCUGAGUCUAUGACUUUAAGUCGCAUGUAUUUUAAAGUCUCUUCAAUGUAAUCUGUGUGCCCUGAGUCACUUUUAAGAAUUUCCCCAAUUACCAUGAAUUUACUCUUUAGAACAGUUGUUUCAUUCAUAUAUCAUCCUGAGUCCUAUCACCCACUCCUCUCUUCUCUGUUCUUUGCAGGUUUUCUGGUCCUGUCCUACUUUGCCGCAGUCUUGUGGUAUUAUAAGAGUAUAAGAGAUUUCUCCUUGGAAUUUGGAGUUUUUCAUAUUUUUACUUAUAAUUAUUUUGAAAUAUGGGCCUUCUUAGUCUUCAAGUUAUGCUAAAGGCAUUUUUGUGUUGCUUUAUUUAUUCUUAUUGUUUUCUAUUGAUUUUACAGGAAAUACUGAUAUAGACGGAGUAAGCAGUCGCUAUCUUCUUCAGCUACCCAGAGGUGCCUAGGAGUAAGCUUUUAACACCAGGAAAAAAAGGAUUGUUCAUUCAGAUUCUACAGGCCCACACAGGCUAGCUUGCCUUCGAGCUUCAGAAGGCUGCCUGUACCACUUGGUCCAUGACUGCUGCCUCAUAUAGCUCUGAGCUCUGCUCCUCUCAUCACACACUCUCUGACUCUGACUCCUACCUUCCUAUCACAAGAAACUGGUAUUGCAUUGGGCUCCCCUGGAUAAUCCAAGACAAUCUCUUCAUCUCAAAGUCCUUAAUUUAAUCUCAUCUGUAAAGUCACCUUUGCCAAGUAAGGAGGAUAACAACACCCUGUUGCCCUCCAUGGACUGCCACUGUCUCCUUCUCAGCCAAGGUGGUGUGUGUUGAGCUGACUUCUCCACAAGCCUUAAGAGUGGUGAAUUGUGAUAGGUGCAUGCAUUG